UACUGGCUCUGAGCACUCUGCUCCACAGAGAGCACAGAGGGAAGCAUGCGAGGAGACAGCCAUCAAAACGACUGAAGCUCACUGCACUGUUUGCCUAUUGUGGUGAACACACCGGCUCCGCAAAUCAUUCUGGCUGCGAAUCUACGUGGAGGCUUUAGUGCUGAGCGGUUUAAGUCCAGUUCCUCAAAACGCCACACGCCAAGGAACCAACCCACUUUAACCCAGUCACCCUGACCUCCCACCUGAUGCAGACCAUGGAGCUCCUCAUCCUAGCCCACUCGUGCAAUGUGGUGAGCCCCACCCUGAACCCACUGCUGUUUGCUUACCUACCUGACAUUGGAGUGGAGGAUGCCAUCAUCUACCUCCUGAAGCGGUGGCUCACCCAAACGGACACCACCAGGUGCACCGGGCCAGAGCCGGGCCAGUGAUCCAUGAUUGGUUCCUGUGCUUGCUGCUGGACUCACCCUACAGACCUGCUGUAGUUUGAAUUUAAAUAAACUGUUUCAUAAUC